rnacentral:tRNA from 1 species
UCCCUGGUGGUCCAGUGGUUAAGACUCUGACCUCCCAAAGCAGGGGUCCCAGGUUCGAUCCUUGGUCAGGGAA